GCCUGGGUGGCUCAGUCGGUUGAGCGUCUGACUUUGGCUCAGGUCAUGAUCUCACGGUUCGUGAGUUCGAGCCCCACGUCGGGCU
rfam:Felis catus isolate Cinnamon breed Abyssinian chromosome C1, whole genome shotgun sequence.